CCGUACCAAAAAGUACGGUUUUCCGUACUAUUCAUCACACAACCGUACCACAACCGUACCUCAGUGUAGACCGUACCUUUUUCGUACCUUUUCUAUAUUAGUGAUUUAUUUUUUACUGCAAACUACAAAGGGUAAAAAAAAAAUCGCCUUCUCCUGUUUUGUCAACAUUAUGAAUUUGCGUUUAAAAAACUUUUUUCUUCCAUCCAAAUAAGACUUGGCUGUUUGGAUUACAUUCCUUGCCUUCCUUCCUCAGGAGCGAUGAAUUAAAAAAAAAAACAGAGCAAACAGAAUAUAGUCUGCGGGACUAUCGCCGUUCGCCGAUGUCUAUAGUCAGUCUGGAACCGAGAUCGAACUAAAGAUAACUCAUUCUCACAAGUAUGUACGACGUGUGACGAAACAAUACGAAUCUAUAGACGGAAGAAAAGUUAAGUCAAGAUUGAAAUGAAAACUAUUAACUUGCAUUGAGCAUGGGUGCAGGCUAAGUAUUAAGUAUUUUGGAAUGAAGCAAAGCAUAUCUACAAACGGAAUGACACAUAUCCAAACUAUUGGAGCUUCAAGCAUGUAUUAGCAAGUUAUUUAUUUAUAAACUCGUGGUAAGUCAAAUUAUUAUUUUACAAUUACAGUCUGUUGAGAAACUAAUAGAAAAUAAUGAGACUCAUACUUUCUUCGACUUUCUGUCACAUUUGACACUAAAAUAUGGACACAAAUUAUUUAGAUGGGAUUUUCUUAGUUCCUAAAACAUUAUUUUCAUAAUUUUUUUGACAAACAACUUGUUUUCGCUGUAGGAUAUGAGUAGACUAUAGCAUUUUUCAACAUUUUAGCAAAACCGUACUACUAUGAUAAAUUAUUAUCAAAAAAAUUUUUAAUUCACUGCAUCAUUAACGAAUAUAAUGACUUUACUCCUUUCCGUAACUCUAUAUUGAUUUAUAACCUCAUUUCUCUAAUUGAUUUACGAAUGAAUUUGUUCGAUAUUGGCAAUCGGUAAUAAUGUUCUACUUUACCAUAUCGUUCUGAACAUUCGAUUCCCUAUCGCUUUUUUUCCAACCUAUGGUCGCAGACAGCCAACUCGAAGAAAAAUAAAACUGAUCUAGUUCUUGCAGAAGUAUCCCGACCUAACCGUACCUUGAAGUUAAAAACCGUACCUUUUUAGAAAGCCAACCAUCCUUUUUUGGGAAAUCAUACUGGCAACACUCUCCGAGAGUGUCACACUCUCCGAGCUCUCGUGGACGACUCGUCCACGAGAGCUCGGAGAGUGGUCACGUCUCAUCGGGAAGCGACGCGCCGAUAACGAUACUUCGCGAUCUAUUGUGUACUUAUACCUUGCCAAACGCAAACGCAAACUGUUGAAUAAGUAAAAUGGGAAAGCUUAAGGAAAAAAAUUAUAAGAAGAAAGUUGGCGCUAAUUUACGAAAAAAAAAUGUUCUCGGAAAAAGUACGUAUUUCUUUUUUUUUAUAACGGAUAUAAUCUUUUCUUCAAUUUUUGUCAAACAUUCGUUAUGGGUAUCGUGUAAUAGGUUUUUGGGGGUGGCGAUUGCAAAUCUGACAUCAAUUUUAAAAUUCAAGAUGGCGGAUGCUAGUUUUUGUCAAAUAUUCGAUAUGGGUAUCGUGUAAUAGGUUCUUGGGGGCGGCGAUUGCAAAUCUGACAUCAAUUUCAAAAUUCAAGAUGGCGGAUGCUAGUUUUUGUCAAAUAUUCGAUAUGGGUAUCGUGUAAUAGGUUCUUGGGGGCGGCGAUUGCGAA